rnacentral:rRNA from 1 species
GAGACUCUGUGCGCGUGCAUAUCAAUAAGCGGAGGAAAAGAAACUAACAAGGAUUCCCCUAGUAACGGCGAGUGAAGCGGGAAGAGCUCAAAUUUGAAAUCUUAAAGGGUUUCCCUUUACGAAUUGUAGUUUAAAGAAGUGUUUUCUGUUGGAGUUUCGGUAAAAGUUCUUUGGAAUAGGACAUCAUAGAGGGUGAGAAUCCCGUAUUUGACCGUUACUUUCCAGCUGUGUGAUACACUUUCAAAGAGUCGGAUUGUUUGGGAAUGCAGUCCAAAAUGGGUGGUAAAUUUCAUCUAAAGCUAAAUAUUGGCGAGAGACCGAUAGCGAACAAGUACCGUGAGGGAAAGAUGAAAAGAACUUUGAAAAGAGAGUUAAACAGUACGUGAAAUUGUCAAAAGGGAAGCGUUUGACACCAGUGUUGUUUAGUUGAAAAUCAAUUCAAUAAUUUUUGAUUCUGAGUAGUAUUGACUUCAUCAGCUUGCUGCUUUCUUCUCAGAAAUUAAUGAAUGCACUUUUCAGUUAACAAGUCAACAUCAAUUUCUUUUGUUGUAAAAGGGUAAGAGGAAGGUGGCUUGCGCUUCGGCUCAAGUGUUUAUAGCCUUUUAUCUCUGCAAUCGGAGAGAUUGAGGUCUGCAGCGUAGAUCCUUCGGGGUUAGAUACAUUGGUGCUAAGCUAUAGCCUUGUAUAGACAACUUGUUGACUAUGCUCAGUCAUGUAGCUUACUCGCUGAUGCUAUUUUACCUACGCUUAGGAUGUUGACAGCAGUAUAGACUGU